rnacentral:rRNA from 1 species
AUUGAACGCUGGCGGCAGGCUUAAUACAUGCAAGUCGAACGGUAACAUAGCGAAAGCUUGCUUUUGCUGAUGCCGAGUGGCGGACGGGUGAGUAGUAUCUGGGAAACUGCCCUGAAGAGGGGGACAACAGCUGGAAACGGCUGCUAAUACCGCAUAAGCCCUGAGGGGGAAAGGAAGGCAACUUCCGCUUCAGGAUGUGCCCAGAAGGGAUUAGCUGGUAGGUGAGGUAAAGGCUCACCUAGGCGACGAUCUCUAGCCGGUCUGAGAGGAUGACCGGCCACAUCGGGACUGAGACACGGCCCGGACUCCUACGGGAGGCAGCAGUAGGGAAUAUUGCACAAUGGGGGGAACCCUGAUGCAGCCAUGCCGCGUGUGUGAAGAAGGGCUUCGGGUUGUAAAGCACUUUCAGCGGGGAGGAAAUUAAGUUAGACGUUACCCGCAGAAGAAGCGCCGGCUAACUACGUG